UGUAAGAAUCAUAAACUUUUGUUGGUCACAGAGCUAAUUUUCUGCAUUAAUCCAAAAGCCAUUUUUGUCGAGGGAACCAGGGUGAUUGUAACUUCCGGGUUGGCCUACAAAAAGACGUCAUCCCUGUAACACUGCAGUUUAAUUUACUUGCAGGUUACUAGGUGUAACCAACAGCGCUCUCGGCAGAUUGAAAUAGCCGUUCGAUACUCCCCCUAUUUUUCGGCACGACCAUAACUCCGACCUGCCGUGACCUCUUGGCUGGAUAUGUUGACGCCUGGCAACCUUGCCUACGCAGGCCGCUGUGGAUGAUGGGAUAUGGUCCUGUUUUGUUGUUAUGACUAAGUCAUGGAUACAAGUUCCAAUUCCUCAGAUGACAAACAGAGGAAUCAAAGUAAGAAGAAUCAAAGGUGUCCUUCCUCCCAAGGAAAUGAAGCCCCAAUCACAUGGGAACUUAAUACAGAACAUAGGAGUGAUUCACUGGGAGCAGCACCUGAACUUCCCCAGUGUAAAAUGGGUAGCAAGAAGGUAGACGACAUGAGCUUCAUGAUAUCGUGUACAAACUGGUACUAGGGACAUGUGAUCUGUGAUCACUUCAGCUUAGUAACCACUAAGACACCGUGCGUCCUUGUUAUCAUUUAUGUUUAAGAUCAUUGUAUUUUUUUUUUCUUGAACUCAUGGCCACGGUGCCCUGUGAUGUCAGUGUGGCACACAACCACUAAAUCCUCACCAGUAUAACAAAAAUACAGCACUGAAACUGGACACUUGUGACCAGAUGAUGUUUUUCCAAUCUUCAACUGACCCAUUUCAGUGAGCCUGUGCCCACUGCAGCCUCAGAUUCCUGUCUGACAAGAGUGGACCCUGAUGUGGUCUUCUGCUGUUGUACCUUAUUCACCUCAAGAUUCAAUGUGUUGUGCAUUCCGAGAUGUUUAUCAGCCCACCAUGGUUGUAAACAGUGCUUAUUUGAGUUACCUGCCUGCUCCAUUGAAUUAUCUGCAUAAUUGGCUAAUGAAUGUGUGAGGUGUCCCUGUUAAAGUGACUGAGUGUUUUUAAUGUGUUUCAGAGUGCAACUUCAGAAGUUUAGGACACACAAAGCUUGUCCACUUGUCAGUGGUACAACAUAUAGCUAUAACACAAAGGCUAUAACAUAUAAAAGCUAGUCAUCGUCUCUAACUUUUCUAUUAUGCAUGCUAUUUGUUCCAGUUUAUAUUAGGCUUGAAUUGUACUGUUGCAUGCAGAGUUGCUAUAUGAUAACCAAUACAGUUUUCACCAAUAAAGUGAGUUAUAAAGGA